rnacentral:rRNA from 1 species
CCUACGGGUGGCAGCAGUGGGGAAUAUUGCACAAUGGGGGAAACCCUGAUGCAGCGAAGCCGCGUGAGGGAAGAAGUAAUUCGGUAUGUAAAGCUCUAUCAGCAGGGGAGAAAAUGACUGUACCUGAGUAAGUAGCUACGGCUAACUACGAGACAGCAGCCGCGGUAAUACGUAGGGGGCCAGCGUUAUCCGGAUUUACAGGGUGUAAAGGGAGCGUAGUCGGCAGUGCAGGUCUGGAGUGAAAGUCGGGGGCUCAACCCCCGGACUGCUCUGGAAACUGGACGGCUGGAGUGCAGGAGAGGUGAGUGGAAUUCCUAGUGUAGCGGUGAAAUGCGUAGAUAUUAGGAGGAACACCAGUUGCGAAGGCGGCUUACUGGACUGUAACUGACGUUGAGGCUCGAAAGCGUGGGGAGCAAACAGGAUUAGAUACCCGAGUAGUC